rnacentral:lncRNA from 12 species
UAAACUGAGUAGAAAAAUCACUCGGGUCCCCAUUCCCAGGGGAAUCCUGGUCAUUGUGAAGGAAAAGGACUCUUUAGAACCUUUAAGCAACUGAUGGGCAUCAUGGCUUUUCAGAAAUGGGAUUCAGAGCAUGGCAUUUCCCAGAAGAACAAAGAAGAUAAGUGGAAAAAAGGGAAGGGACAGGGGAGGGGAGGUGAAGAAGAAGAAGAAGAAGAAGAAGAAGAAGAAGAAGAAGAAGAAGAAGAAGAAGAAGAAGAAGAAAUAGAGGAAGCAGUCACCAGAACGUAACUAACCAGAUUCCUGCUAUUAUGGAAGCUGAUUUCCUGUGAUGAAAAAAAUGUCAUUUCAGCGGAGCUCUGAGAACUUUUGGAAUGUGUGCACCAGGUCUGAAAAUGCAGAGUGGACUAUGACACAGAAAGAAAGACAUGUGUACAUGCUUUUGCAGGAGCAAGGAGUGGAUGAAAUUAGUUUCCUCUAGCAAUACCUCAUGAUUGAAAUAUCCAAAGAUCUCAAGGAAAAUUUAAAAAAUCAGAACAGUUGAAGAAAUAGAUGAUGGGAAGAAACUAUUUCUUUCCCCAGCUCCCCUGUCCCUCAGGCAGGGCUUUUGCACCAGCUCCCAGAGUUUCCCUAUUGGAAGAUGAUUUAAUAACACUCCUCCCUGUGUCAAUGUAUUUCACUGUAAUCUCUCACCACCUAAACUAAUUGCUUGCACUUGAACCUUUGUCCCAGCACCAGCUGCCAGAGAGACUCAGAGUAAAACACAUGUAUUCUGGGCACUGAAAUGUUGGUACGAACAAGCAUGUAAGGGCCAUGCUGCCCAGGGUCUCUUGUCUGACAACAGCUGACAUAGUUCCACAUCAUCUUCACAAAUAACAGUAACCUGGCUUUCUGAGCAUAAGCUGAUCUAGAUACUAGAAUUUAGCUUGAGCAUAAACACAUGGACAAGAAUAUGAUUUUGUGAAGCAGGGAGGUCAAAAUGAGAAUUUCUUUUCACUAAGGAGUUGGUGAGAAGAGCCAUGAGGCUGAGUGAGCCA